CCUACGGGAGGCAGCAGUGGGGAAUAUUGCACAAUGGGGGAAACCCUGAUGCAGCGACGCCGCGUGAGUGAAGAAGUAAUUCGUUAUGUAAAGCUCUAUCAGCAGGGAAGAAAAUGACGGUACCUGAGUAAGAAGCCCCGGCUAACUACGUUCCAGCAGCCGCGGUAAUACGUAGGGGGCAAGCGUUAUCCGGAUUUACGGGGUGGAAAGGGAGCGUAGACGGCAGUGCAAGUCUGGAGUGAAAGGCGGGGGCUCAACCCCCGGACUGCUCUGGAAACUGUACGGCUGGAGUGCAGGAGAGGUAAGUGGAAUUCCUAGUGUAGCGGUGAAAUGCGUAGAUAUUAGGAGGAACACCAGUGGCGAAGGCGGCUUACUGGACUGUAACUGACGUUGAGGCUCGAAAGCGUGGGGAGCAAACAGGAUUAGAUACCCGAGUAGUC
rnacentral:rRNA from 1 species